UACGAAGGGGGCUAGCGUUGUUCGGAAUCACUGGGCGUAAAGGGCGCGUAGGCGGCUUUAUAAGUCGGGGGUGAAAGCCUGUGGCUCAACCACAGAAUUGCCUUCGAUACUGUAGAGCUUGAGACCGGAAGAGGUAAGUGGAACUGCGAGUGUAGAGGUGAAAUUCGUAGAUAUUCGCAGGAACACCAGUGGCGAAGGCGGCUUACUGGUCCAUUACUGACGCUGAGGUGCGAAAGCGUGGGGAGCAAACAGG
rnacentral:rRNA from 1 species